CCUACGGGAGGCAGCAGUGGGGAAUUUUGGACAAUGGGCGCAAGCCUGAUCCAGCCAUGCCGCGUGAGUGAAGAAGGCCUUCGGGUUGUAAAGCUCUUUCGCCAGGGAAGAAAUCGUCGGCGUUAAAUCCUGCGUGGAUGACGGGUACCUCAGAAUAAGCACGGCUAACUCCGUGCCAGCAGCCGCG
rnacentral:rRNA from 1 species